rnacentral:rRNA from 1 species
AGUCGAACGGUGAAGCCCCGCUUGCGGGGUGGAUCAGUGGCGAACGGGUGAGUAACACGUGAGCAACCUGCCCCUGACUCUGGGAUAAGCGCUGGAAACGGCGUCUAAUACUGGAUACGAGACGUGAUCGCAUGGUCAACGUUUGGAAAGAUUUUUCGGUUGGGGAUGGGCUCGCGGCCUAUCAGCUUGUUGGUGAGGUAAUGGCUCACCAAGGCGUCGACGGGUAGCCGGCCUGAGAGGGUGACCGGCCACACUGGGACUGAGACACGGCCCAGACUCCUACGGGAGGCAGCAGUGGGGAAUAUUGCACAAUGGGCGCAAGCCUGAUGCAGCAACGCCGCGUGAGGGAUGACGGCCUUCGGGUUGUAAACCUCUUUUAGCAGGGAAGAAGCGAGAGUGACGGUACCUGCAGAAAAAGCACCGGCUAACUACGUGCCAGCAGCCGCGGUAAUACGUAGGGUGCAAGCGUUAUCCGGAAUUAUUGGGCGUAAAGAGCUCGUAGGCGGUUUGUCGCGUCUGCUGUGAAAUCUGGGGGCUCAACCCCCAGCCUGCAGUGGGUACGGGCAGACUAGAGUGCGGUAGGGGAGAUUGGAAUUCCUGGUGUAGCGGUGGAAUGCGCAGAUAUCAGGAGGAACACCGAUGGCGAAGGCAGAUCUCUGGGCCGUAACUGACGCUGAGGAGCGAAAGGGUGGGGAGCAAACAGGCUUAGAUACCCUGGUAGUCCACCCCGUAAACGUUGGGAACUAGUUGUGGGGUCCAUUCCACGGAUUCCGUGACGCAGCUAACGCAUUAAGUUCCCCGCCUGGGGAGUACGGCCGCAAGG